rnacentral:tRNA from 1 species
GCCGGCGUGGCGGAAUGGCAGACGCGGUAGACUCAAAAUCUACUAAGGGCGACCUUGUAAGAGUUCAAGUCUCUUCGCCGGCA